rnacentral:rRNA from 1 species
GACGAACGCUGGCGGCAUGCCUAAUACAUGCAAGUCGAGCGAACAGAUGAAGUGCUUGCACUUCUGACGUUAGCGGCGAACGGGUGAGUAACACGUAAGGAAUCUACCUAUAAGCGGGGGAUAACAUUCGGAAACGGGUGCUAAUACCGCAUAAUAUCUUCUUCCGCAUGGAAGAAGAUUGAAAGACGGCUCUGCUGUCACUCAUAGAUGACCUUGCGGUGCAUUAGUUAGAUGGUGGGGUAACGGCAUACCAAGACGAUGAAGGAUCACAUGCCCGGGAAGGGGCUGGCGAACAUGGAGUCUGAGACACGGCCGAAACUCCUGCGGGAGGCAGCAUUAGGGAAUCUUCCGCAAUGGGCGAAAGCCUGGCGGAGCAAUGCCGCGUGAGUGAAGAAGGCCUUCGGGUCGUAAAACUCUGUUAUAAGAGAAGAAAAAAUUGUAGAGUAACUGCUACAGUCUUUAUGGUAUCUUAGCAGAAAGCCACGGCUAACUACGUGCCAGCCGCCGCCGUAA